GCGCCCGUAGCUCAAUUGGAUAGAGCGUUUGACUACGGAUCAAGAGGUUAGGGGUUCGACUCCUCUCAGGCGCG
rnacentral:tRNA from 1 species